CCCGCCCCUACUCACUUUAAAAGCCGCUCGCGAUAAAAUCCGGGCCGGCCGGAAUCGGAUUAAAAUCCCCCACGGUGCUCGGCUGCUCCGCACCGGCCCCGCCACCACCUCCUCCUCCCCCCGAGACACGUACUCUCCAGCCCGAAGCUUUAACGCGUGGCCGCCUUUAUACCGCCGGAGCCUGGGACACACAGCAACAAGACGUCUCCUGGUUGGCCGUCGCUCUUUGUCACUCAUAAGAUUCGGGGGCUCCUAUUGGUUCUACGGCGUCGGGCGGACGGGGUGCGCGGGGUGAGGCGAAUGGCGGCCUGCGGGACUGAGUUGUGAGGGAAAGCGCGUGCGGGGGCUUCGCGCCUCUCACCUCAGCGCCCACGGCUCCGUGCGCCCGUGGAGAAGUGGGGGCGCGGGUGGCUGCCGCGCUCACUUUCAACUGUGUUAUCCUCUCGAGGCGCUUCCCGAUAACAGACCGUGCGCGAAGCCCAGUCCCGGAGGCGCAACGCCCGCGUGAGGCGAUGGCUGUUGCCCGCAGCAGCCUCCUAACGGUCCGCCGCAGAGCGCUCCCGUCCCGCUGAGGCGCGGUUAUGGCAGCGCCGCUGCGUUUCCUGGCGCCGCUCCGUGAAGGUUUUCGUAUUUGUAGCAGCUGAAUGCAGAUGUGUGCUCUGAAGUUAAAAGUGUAUAGAUCAGCAGCAAGAGUAGACCAAAAUGGGUGGCAGUUUAUGUAAGUCUGUUGUCUAAGCUUUGGUUCAGGUGAUGGAUGUAAUCUGAGUGGUUUUAAUGAUAUAAUGUAUUAAUUUCUCUGCAAAAGUAAUUGCUCUGAAUAUCUCCUUUGUAUUUUAUCAAGCCUUGCUAAGGACUUGCAUGAUUUAUUGUUUGAUUUGCAGCUCUCCAUAGGUUUCCAUUAUUUCCUUUUUUCCAUUUCCUUUUUUCCAUUUCCUUUUUUCCAUUUCCUUUUUUCCAUUUCCUUUUUUCCAUUUCCUUUUUUCCAUUUCCUGAACUAUCUUCUUUCCUUUUACAGCUCUUGCAUGGAUUUGCUUAACAAUGCUUUCUUCAGAUCUGUAAUCUCUUCCAACUGUUGAUUUCUUCUGGUCAGUCCCAUCUCAAUCUCUCAUCUUGGCAAUUCCAAGCAGCAAUUUCCAGCUACUAUGUCUAUUUUAUGCCACGUAGAGAUAAGGUAGAGAUAUAUAUUUAAGGAAGUAAAGGGUAAAUGUCUAGUAUCUAUAUACAGCAUCCACAUGUUAUGCCAGUAUACAGAUGAGUAGAAGCUUUAUAGAGAACAGGAAGUCUAUGCCAGCCUCCACAGGUAUUCAACAUGAAUGCAUCCUGAGCAAAAUCAUGGAAUUGAACAGGAGAGUCUUUACUCUAAAAUGGCUUAGUAUAAUUCAAUUGCUUUAGAUGACUUACAUAGUAGGAGCUAUUGUGUGUGGAACAAAAGGUAAAUAGAACUUGAUCAAUAUGUGUAUGGGCUUACAGCUGAAAACCAAAUGUUUUGUGUGGAGCAGAAAAUACUUUAUGUGGAAAGACAUAGAGAAUUGACAUAAAAAGAUGGUCUACAAAAUCAAAUAGUCUUGCAAAAAAAAUUCUGAGUGGAAGAGAAUGAUUUAUAUGUUGUGAUCAGAGAAAAGGAUAUCAGUAACUGAGAUGAGGAGGGCUUGUGCAAGAUUCCCAGCUAUGUCAGUAACUCACAGAAGUCACAGCAGUUUGGACUAAUCUGAAUCUAAAACUCAUAUUCCUGGCUGUGAAGUUCCACCUACUCCCUUGCACAGUUAGCUGUAAAAUAACUCAGCUGAACAAUGGUUGGUUUUCAGCCAGAUCAUUUAUCUAGCACACGCUCAUUACAUGAGAGUAAAUUGCAAUGGAAACACCUUAAGUUUGAAAAGAGACAGUAAUAUGAGGCAAUCAUAUCUGUAUUUGUCAAUUAGUGCAAUGAGCUAUGAGCUAGAAGGGAAGGGAGGAGAGAAAUUAUAUCAGAGUUCACUGGUGUUCUUGCAAACAUGGGAAAGAAACACAAGGGAAGCUAUUGCUGUGCCAGGCUGGGGAAAAAGCAAUAGGUGAGAAUAAUUGCAAAAGUUAAGGUAAGAGGAAAGCUAGCUAUGCUAAAAGUGGCUGGACACAAAAGAGUUUCAUUUAAGAUUUGUUGAGAAGCUUUUAGAUGAGUAGAGGAAGCAAAACUGUGUUUGAAGUGAAUUUAGGGUGCAGCCAGACAGGAGAUGUGGUUGGAAGACUUGAAAACAUGAGAUGAGAAGAGGUGCUUCUACGGAAGGAUUAUAUUAAAUUAAUUGAUUGAUGUACAAGAGGCUGAAGUGCAUCUGUGCAGGUGCUGGGGGGUCAGAGCAGAGUAUAUGAUAAAAUCUGUGAACAUAUGAAAGAGUGGGCAUGAGGAUGAUCAGGAAAUAAAACGGAAGAAGGUCAGUAGAGCAAGUGAUGGAGUUACAGAGGAUGCGUAGAUAAGAAGUUUGUUAUUACUUGGAGUCUUGUAGAAAUAAUAACAUUUAAAGAAAAUUGUGACAUUUGAUUUGGGUUAGUCAAAAGCAAUAAAAAGUUAGCUAGGAUUACAGGCAUGUAGGCAAACUGCAGCAGAAUUGUUUAGCUGUAAGAAAUGGAGGAGGGAGCGGGCUUGCAGGAGCGGAAGUUAGCUUGGUCACAGGAUUUCCGUCAAACACACUUUGCACUGCAAGAGCAAGCACGGAUGAAGCAGGUUAUGGAGGUAAGCUGGUGCUGCGUGUAGGUAUCCCAGCCUUUAUCCUGGGAGACAGAAGCAAAAAAAAAAAAAAAACAUGGUGUCAGUGGUGGACAGAAGUUGUUUGUGUGGCAAAUGAAUAACCAGGAAAUUAUUACUACUUUUUUUUUGUUAUGCUUGACAUCAAAAUGCACAGAAAGCUAAAAUGUGUAGGUUUCAUUUUUAAUCAGUGAAACUGGCCAGUAUUACUCUUCAACUUUUCUUUAUUAUUUUGCAUUAUCCAGUGCAAUUUUACAUCAUUCUGUUUUUCCUCCUUCUUUCUUUUUUUUUUUAAUGAACAAUCCCCAAGCAAAUAUUUUGUCCAUCUUCUCGCAAUAUUGGUGUUCAAAGUUCUAAAACGGUAUUUUUUCUUUAAGAAGUUAUUUAUUUGUUACUAGAAUGCAAAUGCAUCUGCAACCAUGAUCUUAAUGUUAUUAUAUUCCAUGCCAGCUAAAAAUAAGACAACCAAGGCUUGUUAAACCGCUUAACAGAUCAGAUACAGCAGCCAAGCUAUGCCCAGGGAAGUAUUCAGAACUGUAAUGGUUUGUAGCAUUGUAAUUAAAAUUUCAGGUUUCGUUUGUUUCUUUUCUUAGCCCAUAAUAACAUCCCUGGGCUACAGAGGUUAGAGACAGUGCUUCAAACCAGCCUUUCAGUUAUUAGAAAUAGCUUUUCAAGCACUGCAAAGAUAACAUGCGUACAAUAACAAUAUCAACACAGGGUUAACAGGUCGGGUUUAUGGAAUCCAAGGAUUUAGAAGAAACCUCUGAGAUACUCUUACUGUAUAAAGCUACUUCUUUGUUAGAGAACACACAAUGUUAUUUUCUCUUAAUGUGUGGGGCCCCUUUAAGUGUGUAACUUUGCAUUAUUAAACGGUCGUGGGAAGUGUGGCAGGAGGAAACCCCGGGUAAUUGGCUGCAGCUUCAGAUGCAGCAGCUCGCUCAUUGGAGAGCAGAGGAUUCUCCGAGUUGCUAAAAUUAGAUGAUCUCCGCCCUCCAGAAAUGCUUCUGGAAACAGCAAGGAGGAGAAAUUCUGACACAGAAGGAUGGGGGAAGGAGUGAAGUGCACAGGAUGCUGCUCGUGGGGAAGCUUCAGCAGAUAAAGAUGCACAGACAGAUACUGAUAUAUUUUUUUCCUAUCUUGGUUAACUGGGAGCAAAA